rnacentral:rRNA from 1 species
GAUGAACGCUGGCGGCGUGCCUAAUACAUGCAAGUCGAGCGAACGGACGAGAAGCUUGCUUCUCUGAUGUUAGCGGCGGACGGGUGAGUAACACGUGUAUAACCUACCUAUAAGACUGGGAUAACUUCGGGAAACCGGAGCUAAUACCGGAUAAUAUUUUGAACCGCAUGGUUCAAAAGUGAAAGACGGUCUUGCUGUCACUUAUAGAUGGAUCCGCGCUGCAUUAGCUAGUUGGUAAGGUAACGGCUUACCAAGGCAACGAUGCAUAGCCGACCUGAGAGGGUGAUCGGCCACACUGGAACUGAGACACGGUCCAGACUACUACGGGAGGCAGCAGUAGGGAAUCUUACGCAAUGGGCGAAAGCACGACGGAGCAACGCCGAGUGAGUGAUGAAGGUCUUCGGAUCGUAAAACUCUGUUAUUAGGGAAGAACAUAUGUGUAAGUAAAUGUGCAGAUCUUGACGGUAACUAAUCAGAAAGCCACGGCUAACUACGUG